rnacentral:rRNA from 1 species
UACGAAGGGGGCAAGCGUUGUUCGGAAUUACUGGGCGUAAAGGGCGCGUAGGCGCCGAUCAAGUCAGGCGUGAAAUUCCCGGGCUCAACCUGGGGGCUGCGCUUGAUACUGAUUGGCUUGAAUGCGGGAGAGGAUAGUGGAAUUCCCAGUGUAGAGGUGAAAUUCGUAGAUAUUGGGAAGAACACCGGUGGCGAAGGCGGCUAUCUGGCCCGUAAUUGGACGCUGAGGCGCGAAAGCGUGGGGAGCAAACAGG